CAGUCUAAACUGUCAUAAGGCUAUUUUCGUUGUGUCAUGAAAUAGAAAUAUUAGUAAUAAUAACAAUGUUAGUUUUGGUGUAGCGAGCUAGCCAGUGUGGUGGAAUGUUAGUUAGUUGGUAACGUUAGCUAACGUUAAGUUUACCUCAAAAAGCACAUUGACUAUCCGAGUCAAACAUUUGCCAAAUUCAACCCUGUCAUAAUGUGCGCUAUCGUUAGCUAACUAGCUCAGUGGUUCUCAACUCCAGUCCUGUUGAAUGUUUUCGUUCCAACCCAGAACUAACACACCUGAUUCAACUGUUCUAAUAAGAUAGGCAUAGCUCUUGAUUAGUUGAAUCAGACCUGUCAGGCUGUCCAAAUGCUUACUAACUAAAUAAUAGCUACAUUUAACAAAUGGAAAUUAUUCAAUGUUGAUAAUACACAUUUUGUUAUAUCAUUUUAGAUUCACUUUUAAAAUAUCUGGGACCACCUGCUGCAUCAGUUGACAAGGAACAGCCAUGCAGCUCAGCUGUGCCGGCUUCCUCAGACCUAGAACCACAUGAAGGAAUGUCAGAACAGCAAGCUGCUCAUCCUGAUGAGAUGACCACUGAUUCCACCCUGCCACUGACCACUGUGCCUGUUUGUUCUGGCCCAGAACCACUGCAAGGAACGUCAGACCAGCCUGCUGCAUCUCAUCCUGAUUGCACCACAGAUUCCACCCAUACACUCUUCUCAGGUGUGUGCCUGAUGAAUGUAAAGAUGUUUAGCUAUAAACCUAAUUGUCCUCAUGCUUU